rnacentral:lncRNA from 1 species
GCCCAGGGCCAAGGAGAGCCGCUCAGGCCUCCCAGCACAUGGGGGCUGACAAGACGCCGAGUGGGGAGCAAGUCAGAGCACCGCGGUUUCCUCGUGCUCUGUGAAAGGAUUUUUGCGUUUCUUCACCAAAGAAGGGACUGUAUUUGGAGGUUUAGACACUGAAUUACAACUCACAGUUGAGAAGUCACUGCACGCCACUGUGCAGUGAAGGGGCAGCCCUGGAACCUGAAAACAGCCUUAAUUCCCAUCAGGAAAUGAGAUCUGAGACUAUACCGCGUUCCUGUGGGGAGCUGCCCUUCCCCCACGUGCAAUUCCGGAGGCUGCUGAUCACAGAACCCGCAUCCUCCCCUCGAGCCCAGCAGGGCCACUCAAAGCCACGCCCAGGACCUGAGAGGCAGACGCUGCACAGGAGUGUCCCUCUCUGAAGAGUAAACACCUGUUGCUUAAGCAGUCGGAGCUGGGUGUGUGUCGACUCUCCUGCCUACUCCCCAAGUCUGCCUGGUCCAGGGUUUGCCGGCUCAGGUGGACUUGGCACUGUGCCCAGCACCCUGGGUCCAGGGCGGUUUCUGGAUGGCGCCAGGCUGGGCUCAGGCACUGACCACAUGGCUCGAGGAAGACCUGACACUUCAAGGAGCAGCAAGGCCCCAAGAUCCCCAGAUGGCAUCUCUCGUCCAUGCUCCUCCCGCCUCACCAGCAACAUCACCAGCUAUAAAUAGGCCUGGCUCUCAGUCAGCACAGCCUUUCCCCGAGGAAGCUUUUAAUUCUCAGCUUCUGCUGCAGGGAGUGUCCCCACUGCCCACCGGGGAGGGAAAACCACGUGGACGCUGCCCCUGAGGAUAGUUUGGCUGCUCAAAGAUUUCUCUUAAACCUCAAUCAGUGAUGACGAUUUUAAUUUUCUCUAUGAAAUUCUCCUGUGAUUUGCACAUUUCCCACAAUGAGCACUGUAUAUGGUUAAAACAGUAUUUAUUGCAACUUCAAAGGAUUCAGGAAGAUCAGCCAAAAGACGCCGGGGAGAUAGGAAUACGCGAGUGCAGCUUCCUCUAAUCUCCAGCACUGGCAGUCCGAUGGCUGGGAGAGGCUUUUUAAUGUAGCAUUUAAACUAUGGUGCCUUUCUGAACGACAGGUCCCUUUGGGGACCUUGAGAGCCACAGACCCUUUCCCCAGGAGAAGGCACACACCCUCACAUGGCACGCAUUUGCAGAUGGUCCCAGGAAGUUCACAAGCACCACCUCCACAACCCCCAUCCCCAAGCCCUGCGAUGCCGACCCUGUGAUGGGAACAGGGGCUG